AAGAAAAUCCACAAUGCUUAUUACUGCACAUUAAUUACAUAUUUUUAAUCAUUCGAAGUGAUAACAAAUAUAGCUAAAACAGAUAUUAUGUCACUUACAACCCUCAAGGCAUCAACGAAUAUUAUUCUUGCGAGCAAGUUCUCGUGCCAUCUCCCUCAGUUCUUCUGGCGAUGGAGGUGUCAGUGCCUCUUGGGGAUACACCACAUAAGAACGCUUCAAAAUAGAAACACAUUGUUUAGAUGCCUCGCAUAAUAAAGCGAGCAUCAUCAGCAUUAGUUUAAGCACUGAAUAUUUCAGCAUUGGAUAUUGGCUGACAUCCUUUCUUAAGUGUAGUUGGACUUUCUCCUUUCUCUCUCUCUUUUAUUGUUCUUUUGCGAGGAUAUCUAAUUCCUCAAUUAUUGUUUUGUUUCUCCCUCUUAAUAAUUUUUUUCUUCUCUAAAGAAUGUAAUAUGAUUCUAAUUAUGCUAAAUAUCGCUAUUUUAAACAAAAUUGUCAUAUUGCAUUCUCAUGUUCCCUCCUCUCUAUAUCAAUGUUAUUAGUUACAAUUGAAGAUAUAUGGAAUUGCACCAAGGAGUACAACCCUUUCCCUACAUAAUCAAUGGUGCGGACUUCAGCGGUACCCUGUUUCCAAGCCAAGACUAAUGAUUCAUCAUUCGAUCAUAAAAGUUGUCCUCCAAGUAAAGGUAUCCUAAGGAGAACUUUUCUAUGUUAGAAGUAUUUUAACAUCAAAUCCUCAUCAACAGCAAUAAAUUGAUAAAGGAAAUUAUUUUCUACAAAUGUAUUGAUCAAUUAUUUUUGGAAAAAGGACAAACAAAAUCAAUACAUUUCAUAACAACUGGAGGACUCAGAAAAUAUUCAACCAAUGGGGGAGUCAAAAAAUAUAGGCCCAUUGUCAAAGUUGGAAAAUCAAGACUAGAUUAUCAAUAC
rnacentral:lncRNA from 1 species